GUUUCCGUAGCGUAGUGGUUAUCAAGUCCGCCUCACAAGCGGAAUGGUUUCGAUCCCUGCCGGUAACA